rnacentral:rRNA from 1 species
AACGAACGCUGGCGGCAUGCCUAACACAUGCAAGUCGAACGAGACCUUCGGGUCUAGUGGCGCACGGGUGCGUAACGCGUGGCAACCUGCCCUUAGGUUCGGAAUAACUCCCCGAAAGGGGUGCUAAUACCGGAUAAUGUCUUCGGACCAAAGAUUUAUCGCCUUUGGAUGGGCCCGCGUUGGAUUAGCUAGUUGGUAGGGUAAAAGCCUACCAAGGCGACGAUCCAUAGCUGGUCUGAGAGGAUGAUCAGCCACACUGGGACUGAGACACGGCCCAGACUCCUACGGGAGGCAGCAGUGGGGAAUAUUGGACAAUGGGCGAAAGCCUGAUCCAGCAAUGCCGCGUGAGUGAUGAAGGCCUUAGGGUUGUAAAGCUCUUUUACCCGGGAUGAUAAUGACGGUACCGGGAGAAUAAGCUCCGGCUAACUCCGUG